UACGUAGGGGGCUAGCGUUGUCCGGAAUUAUUGGGCGUAAAGAGCUCGUAGGCGGCCUGUUGCGUCUGCUGUGAAAUCCCGGGGCUCAACCCCGGGCGUGCAGUGGAUACGGGCGGGCUAGAGGCAGGCAGGGGAGAACGGAAUUCCCGGUGUAGCGGUGAAAUGCGCAGAUAUCGGGAGGAACACCGGUGGCGAAGGCGGUUCUCUGGGCCUGUUCUGACGCUGAGGAGCGAAAGCAUGGGGAGCGAACAGG
rnacentral:rRNA from 1 species